CACAGAUGUGGGUUGCAGAUGUGGAGGGUGUCCUCAGGUCCAUGAGGAGACAACUGAAUGCUUCUCUGGAGAAAUAUCCUCGUUGUAACAGUGGAAACAGCCCAGGGUGUCGUCCUCCAUCCUCUUUGAACCACAGCAGGUCUCUCUGCAGUCAACCAGCUGAUCCAUAGAGGCGGCUUCAGAUGUCCUUCAACUAUUUGAAAACAGAACAAAUCACAUAUUUCAGACAGGCUUUAAACCAGCCCCUAUUGCUAGUUUCCAGUAUUUGUCUUUUAUUCCAGCAAAAAAAAAAGGAUGUCACCAAAGAUUAGGUGCCCACAGCGCUGUGUCUUUGUGUCAUGAGUAAUAAAAUUGCAACACAUAUUAUGUUUGAACCCAGUUUUUCUUGAGCGCUUCAAUCACUCAUGCAGUGAUCUCUUCUCUUAAGCUGUUGUUUGACAUUCAGGAGAGGAAAGUAAUUUCACACCCAAGCGUAUCAUUAAUCAACUGUCCCAUAAACAAUAAAAAGUAGUUUCUAACUUGAGGUUCUCCUGGAACGACUGAUAACUUUUUGUCAUUACUACUCUGUAACCAGACCAGAAAUAAACAAGUGUUUUCUGCGAUGUUG